AUUCUUUUGUAGUUUAUAAGCCUGAUGAUUGGGUCUUCAUGUGCAUGUGUGAGAUGUGCCUCCCUCAAACCUUGUUACGACGUUGGCACAUUACCCAUCUGAUG
ensembl:snoRNA